rnacentral:rRNA from 1 species
UGGCGGCAUGGCUAAGACAUGCAAGUCGAACGGACCAUAUAAUUGGGUAACCGAAAGUAUGGUUAGUGGCGAAAGGGUGAGGAAUAGAUAGGAACGUACCCUGUGCUCUGGGAUAGCGUCUGAAGCUUCGGCUUCUUCCGAAAGGGGCGGUAAUACCAGAUAAUGUCCUUCGGGACCAAGAUUUAUCGGCAUUGGAGCGGCCUAUCUCCUAUCAGCUUGUUGGUGAGGUAACGUGCUCACCAAGGCAACGACGGGUAGCGGGACUGAGAGGUUGGCCCGCCACAUCGGGACUGAGACACUGCCCGGACCUCCACGGAGGGCUGCAGUAACGGAUAUUGGGCAAUGGGCGAAAGCCUGACCCAGCAAUGCCGCGUGCAGGAUGAAGCCCCUAGGGGUGUAAACUGCUGUCAGGGGUCAGAAAGCUGGUUUCGGCCAGUUGAUCAACCCCAGAAGGACAGUCACGGCUAACUUCGUGCCAGCAGCCGCGGUAAUACGAAGGUUGGCAAGCGUUAUUCGGAAUCAUUGGGCUUAAAGGGCACGCAGGCGGAACAGUGUGUGUUGUGUGAAAUCCCCCGGCUUAACCCGGGGAAUUGCACAGCAAACUGCUGUUCUUGAGGCAGGUAGGGGUGCAUGGAACUCUUGGUGGACCGGUGGAAUGCGUAGAUAUCAAGAGGAACGCCAGAGGUGAAGACGGUGCACUGGGCCUGUCCUGACGCUGAGGUGCGAAAGCGUGGGGAGCGAACGGGAUUAGAUACCCCGGUAGUCCACGCCGUAAACGAUGUCUACUAGGUCGUGGGUGUUCUGACACAUUCACGGCCGGAGCAAAAGUGUUUAGUAGACCGCCUGGGGAGUACGGCCGCAAGGUUAAAACUCAAAUGAAUUGACGGGGGCUCACACAAGCGGUGGAGCAUGUGGAUUAAUUCGAAGCAACGCGCAGAACCUUACCUGGGUUUGACAUGCUUGGAUGCCUGCUCUGAAAGGAGUUAGGCUGCCUUCGGGUGAAACUUGCACAGGUGCUGCAUGGCUGUCGUCAGCUCGUGUCGUGAGAUGUCGGGUUAAGUCCUUUAACGAGCGAAACCCUUGCCGUUAGUUGCUAGCGAGUAAUGUCGGGGACUCUAACGGGACUGCCGGUGUUAAACCGGAGGAAGGUGGGGAUGACGUCAAGUCCUCACGGCCUUUAUGCCCAGGGCUUCACACGUGCUACAAUGGCAAUUACAGAGCGACGCGAUACCGCGAGGUGGAGCAAAUCGCAAAAAAAUUGCCUCAGUUCGGAUUGCAGGCUGGCAAUUCGCCUGCAUGAAGUCGGAAUCGCUAGUAAUCGCGUAUCAGCAAUGACGCGGUGAAUGUGUUCCUGAGCCUUGUACACACCGCCCGUCAAGUGAUGGAAGCCGGGAGUACCCGAAGUCGGGUUGCUAACCUUUGGGAGGCGCCUGCCGACGGUAAGUUCGGUGACUGGCACUAAGU